rnacentral:rRNA from 1 species
AACGAACGCUGGCGGCAUGCCUAACACAUGCAAGUCGAACGAGACCUUCGGGUCUAGUGGCGAACGGGGGCGUAACGCGUGGGAACAUGCCCUUAGGUUCGGAAUAACUCCCCGAAAGGGGUGCUAAUACCGGAUAAUAUUUCCGGACAAAUGUUUUUCGGCUUUGGAUGGGGCCUCAUUGGGUUAGGUAGUUGGUAGGGUAAAAGCCUACCAAGGCGACGGUCCAUUACUGGUCUGAGAGGAUGAUCAGGCACACUGGGACUGGGCCCCGGCCCAGACUCCUACGGGAGGCAGCAGUGGGGAAUCUUGGACCAUGGGCGAAAGCCUGAUCCAGCACUGCCGCGUUAGUGAUGUAGGCCUUAGAGUUGUCAAGCUCUUUUACCCGGGAUGAUAAUGACAGUACCGGGAGAAUAAGCUCCGGCUAACUCCGUG